CUCAAGGUCCAUUCUAAGUAGGUCAAUCCAGCAUCACUUUGAUUGGCUUUUUUACUUUGUUCCUCUACUGAGUAAAUAAUGUAAUUAAAGUUCUGUACUUAUGAGUAGAAAGAGCUUUACAAUUGUUCAGAAUGUGUUUAUUCAGGAUUACUCUGUUCCUGUGGCUGUGGCGUCUAAGUAGAACAUCUGAAGAGAACCAACUGAAAACAUUGACAACUGGAGAAGCACAUGUCAUUCAAUUCUGCCCCAAUCAUACAUUGAAUGACAUCAUGUCCGUUAUAUGUAAAAUAAGUGGGGGGCAGAAGUGUCAGGUAUCAUUACGGUUUGACCAAAAUUAUCCAGAUAGCAACUGUGACUCCAGGGUCACACUACAGACAGAGAAAGGUGAAGUGUUUCUACACAUCAGCAACAUACAACCAUCUGAUGAAGGGAACUACACCUGUGAAUGUUCAUAUAAUGGAGGAAGAGAUGUUUUAUAUCUUAAUAUUUCUGUCAAUGCAUCACAGGUGGUUGAGGAAACAGGCACUUCCGGAACUCUCUUUUCUAUAAUGAUAAUUGGCUUCACUGCAAUUGUAGUUGUAAUUUUCCUCACUGGCAUCAUCAUGAAGACAGUUAAAUUCAGCAGGAGAACACAGCAAGACGUGAGUGACACCUUCAAAACGAAGAUGGACACUAUAUUCUUUGAGGAGGGUCAACUUUACACCGUUGGAGUUUACGCAGCUCUACCAUUGCCACAUCCUCACCACUGACACUGACAGCAUGGACCAAUGCCCUGGACUAACCUGCCCUGGACAUACAUCUCCAGCCAUACAUUACAUUAAGAUAAUCAAAGCAAUUCAUGGCUACUCAUGCUCUUAAAACAUUUGGUCCUCGACAGCACCCUCUCUUGGAUCAGCAUCAGUCCAACACCCAGGGAGAACCAUCUGGCCUGGGGCUGUAAAAGGGGGUCCUUAAACACAGCCUGGAUUUCACCCCUUGACGAGGAACACAUGUUCUCAAUCAGCCCUCUUCUGGGGAGGAUAAAUGGCCCCAAAAGAACUCUGGGAAGCGGUGGAAGAAGCUGAAAGAAAAUAUUGCAUGUUUUAUGUUAAUCUAUCGUUUCCUCUGCCAGUUUAUGUUAAUAAAUGUCCUACUGGGCCCA
ensembl:lncRNA